AAGACUAGACUUUCAGGGAUCAUUUCUGUAAUUCGCUACUAGAGAAGUUUCUCUGAAUGUGUAGAGCAUUGGAAACCAUGAGGAGGAGGCAGCGCAGCGUCAUCCCUUGAGCGUGAAGCCAGCUCUUGGUGCUGCCUUGCUAUGGCUGCCAUUUGCCAUUGAUGAUCAUUCUCAUCUCUCCUCAGGGACUGAGAGGGGGAGGAUAUAGUCUGAGUGGU